UGCGGUUCUCCUGAGCGGAGCUGUUUUCUCCCAUCACUGGCCUCAAGCGGGCCCUGCGGGCUCCCACACCAGGCCGGCUCAAGAUGAAAGGGGCAGGGGGCCUGUGCGGGUCAGAAACGUAGCCGCGGGGCCGAUCCUGAAGACUGAAGCCGAAGCCGGAUCCGCAGGUCUCCAGUCUUGCUCCAAAGAGGAGACACCGUGUUGCCCUGGAAUCCAGUUCCUUUUCCUCGCGAUGUGGUGGAAGGUGCAGAGCCUGGAGCCAGACACAUCUGGGUUGAGCCUGACCCUCCCUCCGUCAAUCACCUAACUCCUCCGAGCCUCAGUCUUCUCCCCUGUUGAAAGGAAUGGUAACACUUCUCUCUAAUGUUAAGGGUUUAAAAGGAAGUGAUGUAAGGAU
rnacentral:lncRNA from 1 species